rnacentral:rRNA from 1 species
GAUGAACGCUGGCGGCGUGCCUAAUACAUGCAAGUCGAGCGAAUGGAUUAAGAGCUCGCUCUUAUGAAGUUAGCGGCGGACGGGUGAGUAACACGUGGGUAACCUGCCCAUAAGACUGGGAUAACUCCGGGAAACCGGGGCUAAUACCGGAUAACAUUUUGAACCGCAUGGGUCGAAAUCGAAAGGCGGCUUCGGCUGUCACUUAUGGAUGGGCCCGCGUCGCAUUAGCUAGUUGGUGAGGUAACGGCUCACCAAGGCAACGAUGCGUAGCCGAUCUGAGAGGGUGAUCGGCCACACUGGGACUGAGACACGGCCCAGACUCCUACGGGAGGCAGCAGUAGGGAAUCUUCCGCAAUGGACGAAAGUCUGACGGAGCAACGCCGCGUGAGUGAUGAAGGCUUUCGGGUCGUAAAACUCUGUUGUUAGGGAAGAACAAGUGCUAGUUGAAUAAGCUGGCACCUUGACGGUACCUAACCAGAAAGCCACGGCUAACUACGUGCCAGCAGCCGCAGUAA